AAUGAACGCUAGCGACAGGCUUAACACAUGCAAGUCGAGGGACCGGCGCACGGGUGAGUAACACGUAUCCAACCUGCCCUGUACGCGGGGAUAGCCUUUCGCAAGCAAGAUUAAUACCCGAUGUCAAGGCUGGGGAUGCUUUGCAUUAGGUUGGUGGUGAGGUAACGGCUAACCAAGACUUCCAUGGAUAGGGGGUCUGAGAGGAAGCUCCCCCACAUUUGAACUGAGACACGGACCAAACUCCUACGUGAGGCAGCAGUGAGGAAUAUUGGUCAAGGGGCGUUAGCCUGAACCAGCCAAGUAGAGUGAAGGAUGAAGGCUUAUGGGUCGUAAAUUUCUUGUAUAUAAGAAUAUUUAUUAUCUGAAUAAGGAUCGGCUAACUCCGUGCCAGCAGCCGCGGUAAUAC
rnacentral:rRNA from 1 species